AGCAUGGAGAAUGCCUUUGAUCCUAUCCCCACAGCAGCCAGUUCCUGCCCCUGUGGUAGAAAUGUCCCAGGUUGGGGGGCAGAGAAGCCCCUAAAAUAAUUUCAAAAAAUCUUCAACAAACUGUAAAGAACUUUGUUUUGUUUUGCCAGUCAAAAUUUAAAAUUCAGGCUUUGGCUGUGGCUAAGGUCAGGAUUAAUGUUUUCUUUUCCAUGGGCCUUUAGCCCACUGAAAAAGUUUGGUGAAGGACUACUACUACAGUCCUGAUAUUCAGAGACAUGGAGAGAGCUAUAGUUUUUUUUUAUUAUUAAAGGUUGGUACUACUAUAGUAUUAACAAUCUCCUUAUUAGAUGUAAGAGACAAGAAGCCCCAGGUAAACUGGUUACAAUUCUUUUGUCAGCUGUUUAGUAUCGAACACCCAGGUUCUAACGUCUCUCCAUCCUUUUGUUAUUAGUUCUUACUGGAAGCCUAGUGCCAUUUAGAGGAUGAGUCUCUUGAGCGAUAAAGCCACUGAGCUGACACUAAAGGAAAGUACUCCUUAAGGGAAAAUCUAAGUCCAGAGAGACAGCCGGUAGCAGAUAGGCUGCCCCUCUGCUCACUUUUCUGUUUCACAGACACAAGGUCUUUUUGUCCCAAGAAAGCCUCCUGGCUUAGCUGUGUGACUAAAUGCUAUUUGCCCUCUUCAGUGGACCUCUAUUCUCAAGAUUCCCUUGUUUUCUCACCAUCCCAUUUGAGAUGCUUGUUAGUAACUGUUACAGGUCUUCUUUACCACCGAAGAAGGACGGAAUCCUACUAGAGGCCAGAAAAAAUGUUCCAGACACGAUGGAAGGCCCUCACUUCUGCCUGCUCUCUUCAAACGCCUAAAGAAACACAUGGGUGGAGGAAAGACCUGUGCGACUGGCUGAUUGACCCCUGCUGAAAGCCGAGGACCUUGUCCACAGACGGGAACAGUUCUCUUCAUGAAUGAAGGUCAGAGACAAGUGGGUGCUGCCAUGGUGGACAACACAAUGUCAUCUGGGAUGGCUGAACCUCUACCCCCCAGCACAUCAGCGCCAC
rnacentral:lncRNA from 1 species